CUUUUUCACAGAUAAAAUAUGGACUUUCCAUAGGAAAAAAAAAAAUCAGUAGUUAUAGAAGUGAGCUCAUAAAAUAACAAAAAUAUGCACAUAUGAUUAUGCAUACAAACAAAAUAUGAUGAUUAAAUGACCUGUUAGAAAUUUGAUUUACUCAUCAACAAUGUAUCAACCAUUCUUUGCUUGUCAUUUAUAGAAGAUCUGUCACCUUAGAAGCUGACAAAAAAACCGGCAACUUUCAGCAAAAAUAAGGUGCCGAUGAGAGAAAGAAUUACAGAUAUUCAUGUCAAGACAACGUCUGAUAUGUGGUCCAAGAACUAUGUCAGAAGUUAACUCCAGAUUUCAAGAAGAGCAAAAACUGUUCAGUUGCUGAUGUUGGAGGAAUUCAGUCCAUCGUGUGCAGGACACUGUAAGAAGGUGUAUGUAACAAGAAGUGUUGGGAAAGAUUCAGUGCUUCUGCGGGGGUCCAGCGGCAAAUGGAAAUUGCCAUCAAUCACUGAACACCUUCCAGCAACUCAGCAAAUGAAGAUAGAAUACAGAUCAGUCAAAAUCUGUUCUCUGUGUUUGACACAAUUCAGCACGAGGACACUUCAUCUUCACUUGUGUAGAGGUGACACAAAUUAUUUUGUCACUUCUGAUAGCUGCAGUGUGUGGAGAGCAAAGGAGAGAAUUUCAUGGGCAGCAUUUGGUGGGGGAGAUUCACACUUAGCCUGACAGAAGGCCACACUACCCUGAGUACCACUCAUGUCCAAAAUCCUUCUGUCUUGCUGCGAUGCCCAACUGCUUCAGAGCAGUACUCCAACUACUUGCAGAUAAAAAAUAGAUGUUUUCCUAAUUUCGUUUCUCCUGGUUAAUUUAGAGGGAAAAAAAUAUAUAUAUUUUUUUCAGUAAAGCCUUUGACCAGAAUUCCAGUCAUUCCAGACAAACUCGAU
rnacentral:lncRNA from 1 species